rnacentral:rRNA from 1 species
UACGUAGGGUGCAAGCGUUAAUCGGAAUUCAUGGGCGUAAAGCGUGCGCAGGGGGCUUUGCAAGACAGAUGUGAAAUCCCCAGGCUCAACCUGGGAACUGCGUCCGAUACUGGCAGGCUUGAAUCCGGGAGAGGGAUGCGGAAUUCCAGGUGUAGCGGUGAAAUGCGUAGAUAUCUGGAGGAACACCGGUGGCGAAGGCGGCAUCCUGGACCGGCAUUGACGCUGAGGCGCGAAAGCCAGGGGAGCAAACGGG